GCGUGGUUAGCUCAGUGGUAGAGCACUACCUUGACACGGUAGGGGUCGCAGGUUCGAACCCUGCACCGCGCACCA
rnacentral:tRNA from 2 species